UACGUAGGUGGCAAGCGUUGUCCGGAUUUACUGGGCGUAAAGAGCGCGCAGGCGGUCAGAUAAGUCGAAUGUGAAAGCCCCCGGCUCAACUGGGGAGGGUCAUUCGAUACUGUUCGACUCGAAGGCAGGAGAGGGAAGUGGAAUUCCCGGUGUAGUGGUGAAAUGCGUAGAUAUCGGGAGGAACACCAGAGGCGAAGGCGGCGAACUGGACAGUAACUGACACUCAACUGCGAAAGCGUGGGGAGCAAACAGG
rnacentral:rRNA from 1 species